ACGCACGCUGGCGGCGUGCUUAACACAUGCAAGUCGCACGGAAAGGCCCUGCUUUUGUGGGUGCUCGAGUGGCGAACGGGUGAGUAACACGUGAGUAACCUGCCCUUGACUUUGGGAUAACUUCAGGAAACUGGGGCUAAUACCGGAUAGGAGCUCCUGCUGCAUGGUGGGGGUUGGAAAGUUUCGGCGGUUGGGGAUGGACUCGCGGCUUAUCAGCUUGUUGGUGGGGUAGUGGCUUACCAAGGCUUUGACGGGUAGCCGGCCUGAGAGGGUGACCGGCCACAUUGGGACUGAGAUACGGCCCAGACUCCUACGGGAGGCAGCAGUGGGGAAUAUUGCACAAUGGGCGGAAGCCUGAUGCAGCAACGCCGCGUGCGGGAUGACGGCCUUCGGGUUGUAAACCGCUUUCGCCUGUGACGAAGCGUGAGUGACGGUAAUGGGUAAAGAAGCACCGGCUAACUACGUG
rnacentral:rRNA from 1 species